rnacentral:rRNA from 1 species
AUUGAACGCUGGCGGCAUGCCUUACACAUGCAAGUCGAACGGCAGCACGGGAGCUUGCUCCUGGUGGCGAGUGGCGAACGGGUGAGUAAUGCAUCGGAACGUGCCCUGAAGUGGGGGAUAACGUAGCGAAAGUUACGCUAAUACCGCAUAUUCUGUGAGCAGGAAAGCAGGGGAUCUUCGGACCUUGCGCUUUUGGAGCGGCCGAUGUCGGAUUAGCUAGUUGGUGGGGUAAAGGCCCACCAAGGCGACGAUCCGUAGCGGGUCUGAGAGGAUGAUCCGCCACACUGGAACUGAGACACGGUCCAGACUCCUACGGAGGCAGCAGUGGGGAAUUUUGGACAAUGGGCGCAAGCCUGAUCCAGCCAUGCCGCGUGAGUGAAGAAGGCCUU